rnacentral:rRNA from 1 species
GAUGAACGCUGGCGGCGUGCCUAAUACAUGCAAGUCGAGCGAACAGACGAGGAGCUUGCUCCUCUGACGUUAGCGGCGGACGGGUGAGUAACACGUGGAUAACCUACCUAUAAGACUGGGAUAACUUCGGGAAACCGGAGCUAAUACCGGAUAAUAUAUUGAACCGCAUGGUUCAAUAGUGAAAGACGGCUUUGCUGUCACUUAUAGAUGGAUCCGCGCCGCAUUAGCUAGUUGGUAAGGUAACGGCUUACCAAGGCAACGAUGCGUAGCCGACCUGAGAGGGUGAUCGGCCACACUGGAACUGAGACACGGUCCAGACUCCUACGGGAGGCAGCAGUAGGGAAUCGUCCGCAAUGGGCGAAAGCCUUACGGAGCAACGCCGCGUGAGUGAUGAAGGUCUUCGGAUCGUAAAACUCUGUUAUUAGGGAAGAACAAAUGUGUAAGUAACUAUGCACGUCUUGACGGUACCUAAUCAGAAAGCCACGGCUAACUACGUG